rnacentral:rRNA from 1 species
AGGGCACCACCAGGAGUGGAGCCUGCGGCUUAAUUUGACUCAACACGGGGAAACUCACCCGGCCCGGACACAGGAAGGAUUGACAGAUUGAGAGCUCUUUCUUGAUUCAGUGGGUGGUGGUGCAUGGCCGUUCUUAGUUGGUGGAGUGAUUUGUCUGGUUAAUUCCGAUAACGAACGAGACUCUAGCCUACUAAUAGACCUCGGCAUUCUUUGUACUGUCUAGGCGCUUCUUAAAGGGACAGGCGGCGUUUCAGCCGCAUGAAAAAAAGCAAUAACAGGUCUGUGAUGCCCUUAAAUGUCCGGGGCCGCACGCGCGCUACACUGAAGAGAUCAGCGUGCAUGUGCUUCCUACUCCGAAAGGAGCGGGAAACCGAGUGAACCUUUUUCGUGCUUGGGAUUGGGGAUUGUAAUUAUUCUCCAUGAACGAGGAAUUCCCAGUAAGCACAAGUCACCAGCUUGUGUUGAUUACGUCCCUGCCCUUUGUACACACCGCCCGUCGCUACUACCGAUUGGAUGUUU